AGGCAGUCAUGCCACGGUAGUGGCAGUGGCAGCAAGAAGAGCAGCAACAGCUGGGGCCCCCAGCACCUAAAACAGGGAAGAGAACAUUUCUCUAUGUUGAAGCAGCUGUGGUCCCAAAAGGCUGAGGAAAACCAUGCUCUGUCAACCAUUUCCAUAACUCCCCAUGGGUCAAACUUCUUGGUUCCUCUGCUCUUGCAGGUCAUUAAGGUAAUUGCAACUUCCUGACUUCUGACAGCAGACCAAGCAGGUCUUCAGCUGAGUAGCCAAGAGUGAAGGAGAGUGUUAGAUGGACUCUGAUGGCUGUCUUGAUGUAAGCCACGGGUUGUGAAAGAUUUCACAGAGAAAGAGGGAGGAAGUUCUUCUGGGACGAAGGAGAUGCAGAGUGAAAACCUACUUGCCCUGGAAAUGACCACGUUCUCUGCCUGACCCAGAAAGGAGAUCUUGCAUUCUUGCCUCAAAGAAUACCCUUCAGCAUCCAUUUAUAUAAAAACCCAACGACCAUUACAGCGGAACCACCAGGAUGACCAGGACGACCAGAUUGACCGGUGGCUAUGACAUGCACUGUGGAAGCCAACCAGCCUGAUCCGGGCUGGAUUGCCCCCAACACCCCCAUCAGGAUGGGGCCAGCAGGCCAACCACCUUGGCUGGCAGAAAUUUGGGGUUUGGGGACCUUGGAGGUGCUCGGUUUCUGGCAGCUGUGCGGGCAAAGCUCUCCCUUGACAGAAGUGGACCUGGGAUCAGGGUGCCAGAGUUGGGGAUGGGGUGGGGAGGCUUUCCUCUUGGCCACAGCAGUCCCCAGAGGCCGUGCACAGCACCCGGGCAUCUGGCCCUGUUUGGAGCAGCAGCAGGAAUAGGGGCCGUGGGGCUCAGAGGGCGGCAGCACACAGGAGCCAGGAAGUGCGAGGCCUGACCUGGGUUUUUACCUUGCCAGCUGGGCCCAGCAGCACCAGCAGGUGGGUCAUAGUGUGCAGUGAGGCGCUGGGCCACGACCAGAGUGGAAGCGAGCCAGGAAGGCAAGGCCCUGUGCCGGACAGAGCUUCGAGUGGCAUGGGCAGGGCAGGAGCUGGAAACCCUGGCAGAGUGGGAGGGGCUGCAGCCCCAUGCCUUUUCGGCUUUGGCCUUGGAAUUCUGUGGGUAACCAGUGUACUGGCUACCAGCGUGUCAGAGGUCAGCUCUGCUUCAAGAGAUUUGAUUUGUCCUAACCAGUUUGGCUCAGUGGCUAGAGUGUCGGCCUGCGGACUGAAAGGUCUCAGGUUCGAUUCCGGUCAAGGACAUGAACCUUAGUUGCAGGCACAUCCCCAGUAGGAGGUG